AAGAGCAUGGGUUGCUCUGAAGAAACUUAACUCCAUCCCAGCUGGUCCCAGUACACACACACAUGCUAUUUACAAAAUGCAGAGCUCCUAGAGUUAAACAGGAAAACAGCAUGAAACUUCAUGGGACCAAAGGGAGGGGGACGGAGAGAAGGCAGAAUGGAAUCGGUAGGGCACAGUGCUUUGUAGGCGUCCUUUGGGCCCCUUCAGUACUCACCAGCUCCACCAAUAACACCAACACCCUCCAUCUCCGACUCAAUCCAGCAAAAUGUUGAUUCAGUUCCUGCCCUCAGCUAUUGCAAAAGCCCUGCUGCCCACUCCUAGAUGGUGAUGGAGCCCAUGCCUGCCUUUCAGCAGCAAGGGCCAACAGAACGUGCUGAACACGGACAGAGAAGCUCACCCGUAAUCAGCCUGAAAUAUUAAUGAAGCAAAGCUCCUGAGGUUGAAGAUUUGCAGAUGCUUACGACAGCGAUAACGCAGAUGCGAUUCCACAAAGAGGCUCUUGCCUUCAUGUCUCCUGACGCAUCAAAAAACAGAGUAACAGCAAAUCAACCUGACAUACAUCAGCUGGACUGAAAAUGAGCUAACUGGUUUAAAAAUACAUUACAAAUGAGAAACUAUCAUUAAGAAAAUACAUAGCUUGACUGUGGUUCACAGGGAUCAUUUUCAGCCCUACUUCCCUGAGAAAGCCCUAGAAGGGGGCAUGAACAGUUACAAAAUUUGCAGACGGCACAUCAUCAGUAACGGGAGAAGUGUGACAAAAAGAGAGUAAGAUCAAAGUGAAAGAAGUUCAUAUAUGCUGACUGGAACCAUGAAAGCGUGUUUCAAUACAGCAGGUAUAAUCAAUGAGAAACUAAGAAAGUCACAGAGAAAAGGACUCUCCACGAAUUCAGUGCAUCUGAAAGACUUGGGGUUCUGGAAGGAGCAUCAUUGCCACGAUGCGCCACCGCAAGGCCCGGGUUUGUGGCAUGAGGCAGUUCUUGUACAUAAGAACAGGUGGUUAUCAAAUAAGGAUAGGCUUUGUCACCUGCUGGUUUUAAUGCUGGUUUGCAUGCAACAGUUCAACAGGUUUAUUAACCUUUGGAGAGGCUUCAGAGAAGAGCCACAAGAACGAGUUAUGGACUGGAAUUCACAAAGCUCUAUUUGAUUUGUCAGAGAAGAGUAAGGGCAAAUACAUGAUCAUAACGUACUAAUUAAAAAAAUGAAGUAAUUCAGGAAGAGUCAUGUGGACUGUUUCAUGGAGGAAGUCAGUGAAUUAUCACAUUUAUGGUUAUCUUUAUCAUUAAAGGCUAUUUCUACAUUCCCCAUGGAAGUGUAUCAGCUACAAAUCUGUUCCUGCCAACCUUUACAGAUAGUUGUAGCUCACCGGUUUCAGAAAGACUCAAGGAGGUUGUCCUGUUUUCAGCUGGGAUAGAGUUAGUUUUCUUCUCAGUAGCUGGUACAAUGCUGUGUUUGGGAUUUGGUAUGAGAAUAACGUUGAUAACACAUUGAUGUUUUUACCCGUUGCUAAGUAAUGUUUAUAUUAAGUCAAGGACUUUUUAG